rnacentral:rRNA from 1 species
UACGUAGGGGGCAAGCGUUAUCCGGAAUCAUUGGGCGUAAAGCGCGUGUAGGCGGUUCGAUUAGUCCGCUCUGAAAGCCCAGGGCUCAACCCUGGGAGGCGGGUGGAUACUGUCGGACUAGAGUACGGAAGGGGAGAUUGGAAUUCCUGGUGUAGCGGUGAAAUGCGCAGAUAUCAGGAGGAACACCAACAGCGAAGGCAGAUCUCUGGGACGUAACUGACGCUGAGACGCGAAAGCGUGGGGAGCAAACAGG